rnacentral:rRNA from 1 species
UGGGGAAUUUUGGACAAUGGGCGAAAGCCUGAUCCAGCAAUGCCGCGUGUGUGAAGAAGGCCUUCGGGUUGUAAAGCACUUUUGUCCGGAAAGAAAUCCUUGGCUCUAAUACAGUCGGGGGAUGACGGUACCGGAAGAAUAAGCACCGGCUAACUACGUGCCAGCAGCCGCGGUAAUACGUAGGGUGCAAGCGUUAAUCGGAAUUACUGGGCGUAAAGCGUGCGCAGGCGGUUUGCUAAGACCGAUGUGAAAUCCCCGGGCUCAACCUGGGAACUGCAUUGGUGACUGGCAGGCUAGAGUAUGGCAGAGGGGGGUAGAAUUCCACGUGUAGCAGUGAAAUGCGUAGAGAUGUGGAGGAAUACCGAUGGCGAAGGCAGCCCCCUGGGCCAAUACUGACGCUCAUGCACGAAAGCGUGGGGGAGCAAAACAGGAUUAGAUACCCCUGGUAGUCCACGCCCUAAACGAUGUCAACUAGUUGUUGGGGAUUCAUUUCCUUAGUAACGUAGCUAACGCGUGAAGUUGACCGCCUGGGGAGUACGGUCGCAAGAUUAAAACUCAAAUGGAAUUGACGGGGUCAUA